CCCGGCCCGCUCCCUUUUUCUGGGACUCCAGCCGCCUUCCCGGCAGUGCAGUCGCCACCUUGAGCGGCGAGGUGCGUCUCAGCCCGCCAGUUCUGCCUGCACGCCAACGCACUUCGGCCGUCCCGAGGGCCUCCGCGCCCCACGCUGCCCCUCUCACAGCCGCCCCUGAGCACCGCACCCCACGGCGUCACCCACGCCCGCGCCUGAGGGCCCACUGAAGCCCCACGCGGGGUCCGGCGGUACAGGGGGCCGGGCUAGCCUAUGGGAGCGCCGAGAUAACACAGGUUGGGGGCGCCCGCGCCCCCUAUCCCCGCCAGCAUGGCUCAGCCACCGCCUCUCGGAGAGCUGCCACCUGGCUACAUAUCCCCAGCUCGACCCACAGCACCUCAGAUCCUAGCUGGGAGCCUGAAGACUCCACUCUGGCUUCGUGCUUACUUCCAGGGCCUGCUCUUCUCUCUGGGCUGCGGGAUCCAAAAACACUGUGGCAAAGUGCUCUUCCUGGGACUGUUGGCCUUUGGGGCCCUGGCGCUGGGUCUCCGUGUGGCCGUUAUUGAGACAGACCUGGAACAGCUCUGGGUAGAAGUGGGAAGCCGGGUGAGCCAAGAGUUGCAUUAUACCAAGGAGAAGCUGGGGGAGGAGGCUGCAUAUACCUCCCAGAUGUUGAUUCAGACUCCACGCCAGGAGGGGGAGAACAUCCUCACGCCCGAGGCACUUGGCCUCCACCUCCAGGCAGCCCUCACUGCCAGUAAAGUACAAGUAUCACUCUAUGGAAAGUCCUGGGAUCUGAACAAAAUCUGCUACAAGUCGGGAGUUCCCCUUAUUGAAAAUGGAAUGAUUGAGCGGAUGAUUGAGAAGCUGUUUCCAUGUGUGAUCCUCACCCCACUCGACUGCUUCUGGGAGGGAGCCAAACUCCAAGGGGGCUCUGCCUACUUGCCGGGCCGCCCUGAUAUCCAGUGGACCAACCUGGACCCAGAGCAACUGCUGGAGGAACUAGGUCCCUUUGUCUCCCUGGAAGGCUUUCGGCAGCUGCUAGACAAGGCACAGGUGGGCCAGGCCUAUGUGGGGCGGCCCUGUCUGGAUCCUGAUGACCUCCACUGCCCACCUAGUGCCCCCAACCAUCACAACAGGCAGGCUCCCAAUGUGGCUCAGGAGCUGAGUGGGGGCUGCCAUGGCUUCUCCCACAAAUUCAUGCAUUGGCAGGAGGAAUUGCUGUUGGGAGGCAUGGUCAGAGACCCCCAAGGACGGCUGCUAAGGGCAGAGGCUCUGCAGAGCACCUUCCUGCUGAUGAGUCCCCGCCAGCUGUUCGAACACUUCAGGGGCGACUAUCAGACACAUGACAUCGGCUGGAGUGAGGAGCAGGCCAGCAGAGUGCUGCAAACCUGGCAACGGCGCUUCGUGCAGCUGGCUCAGGAGGCCCUGCCUGAGAACGCAUCCCAGCAGAUCCACGCCUUCUCCCCUACCACCCUGGACGACAUCCUGCACGCAUUCUCUGAAGUCAGCACGGCCCGUGUGGUGGGAGGCUAUCUGCUGAUGCUGGCCUAUGCCUGCGUAACCAUGCUGCGAUGGGACUGUGCCCAGUCUCAGGGUGCCGUGGGCCUUGCUGGGGUGUUGCUGGUGGCCCUGGCAGUGGCCUCUGGCCUUGGGCUCUGCUCCCUGCUUGGCAUCACCUUCAAUGCUGCCACUACUCAGGUGCUACCCUUCUUGGCAUUGGGCAUUGGUGUAGAUGACAUUUUCCUGCUGGCUCAUGCCUUCACAGAGGCUCCUCCUGGUACCCGUCUCCAGGAGCGCAUGGGCGAGUGUCUGCAGCGCACAGGCACCAGUGUUGCCCUCACAUCCAUCAACAACAUGAUUGCUUUCUUCAUGGCUGCCCUAGUUCCCAUCCCCGCACUGCGAGCCUUCUCCCUGCAGGCUGCCAUAGUAGUGGGCUGCAACUUCACAGCCGUGAUGCUCGUCUUCCCGGCUGUCCUCAGCCUGGACCUGCACCGGCGCCACUGCCAGCGCCUUGAUGUGCUCUGCUGCUUCUCUAGCCCCUGUUCUGCUCGAGUGAUUCAGAUUCUGCCCCAGGAGCUGGGGGAUAGGACAGUGCCAGUGGGCAUUGCCCACCUGACCACCACAGUACAAGCUUUCACCCACUGUGAAGCCAGCAGCCAACACGUGGUCACCAUCCUGCCUCCCCAAGCCCAGCUGGUACCCCCACCUUCUGAUCCACUGAGCUCUGAGCUCUUCAGCCCUGUUGGGUCCACACGGGACCUUCUAGGACAAGAGGAGGGGAUAAGGCCAAAGGCAGCCCGCAAGUCCCUACCCUGUGCCCGUUGGAAUCUUGCCCAUUUCGCCCGCUAUCAGUUUGCACCCCUGCUGCUCCAGACACAUGCCAAGGCCAUGGUGCUGAUGUUCUUUGGGGCUCUUCUGGGCCUGAGCCUCUAUGGAGCCACCUUGGUGCAGGAUGGGCUGGCCCUGACAGAUGUGGUGCCUCGGGGCACCAAGGAACAUGCCUUCCUGAGCGCCCAGCUCAGGUACUUCUCCCUGUACGAAGUAGCCCUGGUGACCCAGGGUGGCUUUGACUACGCUCACUCCCAACGUGCCCUCUUUGAUCUGCACCAGCGCUUCAGUUCCCUCAAGGCUGUACUGCCCCCGCCUGCCACCCAGGCACCCCGCACCUGGCUGCACUAUUACCGCAACUGGCUACAGGGAAUCCAGGCUGCAUUUGACCAGGACUGGGCUUCUGGGCGCAUUACCUACCAUUCAUACCGUAAUGGCUCUGAGGAUGGGGCCCUGGCCUACAAGCUGCUCAUUCAGACUGGGAAUGCCCAGGAGCCUCUGGAUUUCAGCCAGCUGACCACAAGAAGGCUGGUGGACAAGGAGGGACUGAUUCCACCAGAGCUCUUCUACAUGGGGUUAACUGUGUGGGUGAGCAGUGACCCUCUGGGUCUGGCAGCCUCACAGGCCAACUUCUACCCCCCACCUCCUGAAUGGCUACAUGACAAAUAUGACACCACUGGGGAGAACCUUCGCAUCCCAGCAGCCCAGCCCCUGGAGUUUGCCCAGUUCCCCUUCCUACUGCGUGGCCUCCAGAAGACUGCAGACUUUGUAGAGGCCAUCCAGGGGGCCCGGGCAGCAUGCACUGAGGCAGGCCAGGCAGGGGUGCACGCCUACCCCAGCGGCUCCCCUUUCCUCUUCUGGGAGCAGUACCUGGGCCUGCGGCGCUGCUUCCUGCUAGCUGUUGGCAUCCUGCUGGUGUGCACCUUCCUGGUCUGUGCCCUGCUGCUACUCAACCCCUGGAUGGCUGGCCUCAUAGUGCUGGUCCUGGCAAUGAUGACUGUGGAACUCUUUGGUAUCAUGGGUUUCCUGGGCAUCAAGCUGAGUGCCAUCCCUGUGGUGAUCCUCGUGGCCUCUGUAGGAAUUGGUGUCGAGUUCACAGUCCACGUGGCUCUGGGUUUCCUGACCACCCAGGGUAGCCGGAACCUGCGGGCUGCCCAUGCCCUUGAGCACACAUUUGCCCCUGUGACUGAUGGGGCCGUCUCCACGUUGCUGGGCUUGCUCAUGCUUGCUGGUUCCAACUUUGACUUCAUCAUAAGGUACUUCUUCGUGGUGCUGACAGUGCUCACACUCUUGGGUCUCCUCCAUGGACUCGUGCUGCUACCUGUGCUACUGUCCAUCCUGGGCCCCCCACCAGAGGUAGUACAGAUGUAUAAGGAGAGCCCACAGGUCCUGAGUCCUGCAACUCCACGGGGAGGCACACUCAGAUGGGGGGUGACUCCCACCCUGCCACAGAACUUUGCCAGAGUGACUACCUCCAUGACUGUGGCCUUGCACCCACCCCCACUACCUGGUGCCUAUAUCCACCCAACCUCUACCGAGCCCAUAUGGUCUCCUGCUGUCACCCCAGCUGCCAACAGCUCUGCCACUGAGUGAAGAAGCAGCUGAAGGACAGAGAUCCUACCUGGGCCACAUGAAAUCACUGGGAAGCAGUGGUUGGGGUUCUGAAUGCAGGAUGGACCCCUGGAGGGCCCUGCUGCUGCUGUCUGCAUCCCCUCCCUGACUCGGCCAUCACAGACCUCCCUGAUACCCAUAUAGAACAGCCACCCCUAGGCUGACAGCAGCCCAGCCACUGGUGCUCCUCUGUACCUAUAGCUGCUGGGUAGGGAGGAAAGCCAGCACUUCCGGCUGCAGUGUAGCCCUUUCCCCCUCCUACCCAACACUGCUGCCCUCCCAGCAAGCCUGAGGGAUCUUCAAGCACACUUUGCCAGUUGUGUCUCACUACUUGUUGACUCCAGUGCUGGGAGUGGAACCCAGAGCCUGGUACGUUAGCCAAGCAUGCUACCACCGACCUGCAACCUCAGAUCUGCUUUAGAAUUCCAGCCAGAGGGACAGAAGUUACCAUGAAACAAAGUCUCAUCAGGCACAGUUACAUUUCUCAGCCAUUUGUGAUAGAUGAGAUUUCAGGGU